UAGAGUUUGAUCAUGGCUCAGGAUGAACGCUGGCGGCGUGGAUAAGGCAUGCAAGUCGAACGAAGCGACCUUCGGUCGCUGAGUGGCAAACGGGGUAGUAACACGUAGGUACAUACCGCUUACACAAGUAUAACCAGUCGAAAGAUUGGCUAAUCCUUGAUAGUUCCGCGUCUGACGCGGUAAAGGUCUCGAGCAAUCGAUUCCGGUAAGCGAAUGACCUGCGGGCUAUCAGCUUGUUGGUAGGGUAAUGGCCUACCAAGGCGAUGACGGCUAGGGGAGGUGAGAGCCUGACCCCCACCACUGGGACUGAGACACUGCCCAGACACCUACGGGUGGCUGCAGUCGAGAAUCUUCGACAAUGCGCGAAAGCGUGAUCGAGCGACGCCGCGUGCAGGAAGAAUCUCUUCGGAGCGUAAACUGCUUUUAACUGGGAAGAAAUUUCACUUCGGUGAUUUUGACAUUACCAGUUGAAUAAGGGCUUGCUAACCUCGUGCCAGCAGCCGCGGUAAUACGAGGAGCCCGAGCGUUAUCCGGAGUUACUGGGCGUAAAGGGUCCGUAGGGGGUUUAAUUAGUCCUCUGUUAAAAGUUUCGGCUCAACCGAAACAUUGCGGAGGAAACGGUUAGACUAUGAGGGCGCGAGAGGUCUGCGGGACUCACGGUGUAGGGGUGAAAUCCGUUGAUAUCGUGGGGAACACCAAAGGCGAAGGCAGCAGACUGGCGCGUUCCUGACCUUGAGGGACGAAAGCGUGGGUAUCGAACGGGAUUAGAUACCCCGGUAGUCCACGCCCUAAACGAUGAUGACUAGCUAUUGGAAGUAUCGACCCUUCCAGUGGCGAAGCUAACGCGUUAAGUCAUCCGCCUGGGAAUUAUGAUCGCAAGGUUAAAACUCAAAGGAAUAGACGGGGACUCGCACAAGCGGUGGAGCAUGUGGUUUAAUUCGAUGAUAACCGAAAAACCUCACCAGGGCUUGACAUUCCGACGACGAUUCGAGGAAAUUCGAAUUUUCUCACAAGGACGUCGGAACAGGUGAUGCAUGGUUGUCGUCAGUUCGUGGCUUGAGUUGUUCCCUUAAUUGGGGAAACGAGCGCAACCCUUAUCAUUUGUUACAUGUGUCAAAUGAGACUGCCUCCGUACAGGUGGAGGAAGGUGGGGAUGACGCCAAAUCAGCAUGUCCCUUUGACGCCCUGGGCUACACACGUGCUACAAUGGCCGGUACAAUGGGUUGCCAAGUCGUAAGACGGAGCUAAUCCCAUCAAAACCGGUCCCAGUUCGGAUCGAGGUCUGCAACUCGACCUCGUGAAGUUGGAAUCGCUAGUAAUCGCGGAUCAGCAUGCCGCGGUGAAUACGUUCUCGAGUCUUGUACUCACCGCCCGUCAAGUCAGGGAAGUCGGGAGUACCCGAAGCCUGAGUCUGACUCGGUCGAAGGUAAGCUCGAUGACAAGGACUAAGUCGUAACAAGGUA
rnacentral:rRNA from 1 species